rnacentral:rRNA from 1 species
GACGAACGCUGGCGGCGUGCCUAAUACAUGCAAGUUGAGCGCUGAAGGUUGGUGCUUGUACCAACUGGAUGAGCAGCGGACGGGUGAGUAACGCGUGGGGAAUCUGCCUUUGAGCGGGGGACAACAUUUGGAAACGAAUGCUAAUACCGCAUAAAAACUUUAAACACAAGUUUCAAGUUUGAAAGAUGCAAUUGCAUCACUCAAAGAUGAUCCCGCGUUGUAUUAGCUAGUUGGUGAGGUAAAGGCUCACCAAGGCGAUGAUACAUAGCCGACCUGAGGGGGUGAUCGGCCACAUUGGGACUGGGACACGGCCCAAACUACUACGGGGGGGAGCAGGAGGGGAUCUUCGGCAAUGGACGAAAGGCUGACCGAGCAACGCCGCGUGAGUGAAGAAGGUUUUCGGGUCGUAAAACUCUGUUGGUAGAGAAGAACGUUGGUGAGAGUGGAAAGCUCAUCAAGUGACGGUAACUACCCAGAAAGGGACGGCUAACUACGUG